UCCACAGGGUGGGAGCUGAAAACGUGAACGCCAAGGAGGAGGCAGGAUGAGGAUGUGGGGCGCGUUAGCCAGCAGCCCCUCAGGUUCCAGGCCAGAGGUUUGGAACAGCGAAGAGCUUUGGAAGGCCGGUAAUGGAAAACCAACAGUCAGGCUGUUUUUUCCCUCCCUGGUCUUCCUGGUUCCUCCUUAGCACAGUGCUCCUCCUACUGGUAUGGUGGUUGAAUGAGAAUGGCAUCCACAGUCAAUGGAACUGUUUGGGAAGGAUUAGGAGGUGUGGCCUUAUCGGAGGAGGUGUGCCACUGAGGGUGGGCUUCAAGGCUUAAAAGCCUCCCACCAUCCCCAGUGAAUUCUGUUUCCUGCUUAUGGAUCAAGUUGUGAGCUCUCAGCUGUUCCUGUCAUGAUGCCUUUACGCCGCCAUCAUGGACUCUAACCCUCUGGCACUGUGAGCCCCAAAUAAACUAUUUCUUCUGUAA